rnacentral:rRNA from 1 species
GACGAACGCUGGCGGCGUGCCUAACACAUGCAAGUCGAACGGUGAAGCUCUAGAUUGUUGGUGUGGAUCAGUGCCGAUCGGGUGAGUAUCACGUGAGCAACCUGCCCCUGUCUUUGGUAUAAGCUCUGGUAACGGCGCUUAAUAUUCGACACCAGACGAGUCCGCAUGGGCACUUUCUGGAAAGUUUUGCGGUUGGGGAUGGACGCGCGGCCUAUCAGCUUGUUGGUGAGGUAAUGGCUCACCAAGGCGACGACGGGUAGCCGGCCUGGGAGGGCGACCGGCCACAAUGGGACUAAGGCACGGCCCAGACUGCUACGGGAGGCAGCGGUGGGGAAUAUUGCACAAUGAGCGAAAGCCUGAUACAGCGACGCCGCGUGAGGAAUGACGGCCUUCGGGUUGUAAACCUCUUUCGGCAGGGAAGAAGCGAAAGUGACGGUACCUGCAGAAGAAGCACCGGCUAACUACGUG